GAUGAACGCUGACAGAAUGCUUAACACAUGCAAGUCGAUGGGGAAGUGGUGCUUGCACCAUGGUAACCAUGGCGGACGGGUGAGUAACGCGUAAGGAACUUGCCUGCGGGACUGGGAUAACAGCAGGAAACUGCUGAUAAUACCGGAUAAGGUCAUUAAGCUGCAUAGCUUAGUGAUGAAAGGAGACGCCUGCGGAGAGCCUUGCGUCCUAUUAGCUAGUUGGAGGGGUAACGGCCCACCAAGGCGAAGAUAGGUAGCCGGCCUGAGAGGGUGGACGGCCACAAGGGGACUGAGAUACGGCCCUUACUCCUACGGGAGGCAGCAGUGGGGAAUAUUGGACAAUGGGGGCAACCCUGAUCCAGCAAUUCUGUGUGCACGAAGACGGUUUUCGGAUUGUAAAGUGCUUUCAGCAGGGAAGAAGGAAGUGACGGUACCUGCAGAAGAAGCGACGGCUAAAUACGUGCCAGCAGCCGCGGUAAUACGUAUGUCGCGAGCGUUAUCCGGAAUUAUUGGGCAUAAAGGGCAUCUAGGCGGCCUUUCAAGUCAGGGGUGAAAACCUGCGGCUCAACCGCAGGCCUGCCUUUGAAACUGAUAGGCUGGAGUACCGGAGAGGUGGACGGAACUGCACGAGUAGAGGUGAAAUUCGUAGAUAUGUGCAGGAAUGCCGAUGAUGAAGAUAGUUCACUGGAC
rnacentral:rRNA from 1 species